GCGGGAUUAAAGAGAGAGACGGAGAAACACUGUGCUGUUCAUAAGUUUAUAAAAUAGUGUUAAAGUUACUUUAUUUCUUUAAUUAAAAACGCUGAGGGUGUUUAUGAGUCUGGACUCUGCUAAGAGGACGAAGAAGACAAGUGCCUCGUGUGGACUGUUGCUAGGACGAGCAUUAGCCGUUGCUAUGGAGGAGCACAACUUUCAUCAGCUGCCAGUGGACAGAGGUUUUGAACUAAACAAACAACGUUUCUAUCCAGUAGUCCUCCCUGUGAGACUCUGAUUUGUCCAGUUGAGAGGAAGACAACAUCUGGUGUGGUCAGAGGUUCAGAGGUUUUCUCUCCUCUGUACCAGAAGUAUUUCCAACCAGAUGAUGAUGGGUUCACAGAGCAGUUUGUUGAAUUGCAGGUUGUGGCUGGUGAUUGGACAGGAGAACAAAUGUGGUUAUUUUAAAAUGGAACUUGCUGAUGCUGGCUUCAUUCUCUCUUUUCCCUGACUGUCAAUCAAACUGCACUGUGCCAAAAUGUGUCGUGCUACCA